rnacentral:lncRNA from 1 species
AUCAGGUUGUCCUUGGAGAUGACUGGAUGCUCCUGAUGGCAGUAAGACUCCUCAAGGGACAGGCAGAGCAAUGAGCCUGACAAUGGAUCUCACGGAACAGUAAACUGCUCAGUUCUGCUGGCUAUGCCCCAGUGCUGGUGCCUACAACUUCACAGUGCCACUGUGAGCAGUUGCUGUUGAGGGUCUUGAUCAAUGAAACAUUAAAAAGCAAAAGUAAUCCACAUAUCAUCACUUCAUGGAAUUGUCCGAGCCCCA